UGAGGAAUAUUGGGCAAUGCCCGAAAGGGUGACCCAGCAACGCCGCGUGGAGGAUGAAGGUCGUAAGAUUGUAAACUCCUGUUAGAGGGGAAGAAUAACUAAGUUUGGAGCUUAGUAUGACUGUACCCUCAGAGAAAGCCCCGGCUAACUACGUGCCAGCAGCCGCGGUAAUACGUAGGGGGCAAGCGUUGUCCGGAUUUACUGGGUGUAAAGGGCGCGCAGGCGGAAUGGAAAGUCAGUGGUGAAAUCCUACAGCUUAACUGUAGAACUGCCUUUGAUACUUUCAUUCUUGAGUUCGGGAGAGAGAGACGGAAUUCCAGGUGUAGUGGUGAAAUACGUAGAUAUCUGGAAGAACACCAGUUGCGAAGGCGGUCUCUUGGUCCGAUACUGACGCUGAGGCGC
rnacentral:rRNA from 1 species